UACGUAGGUGGCAAGCGUUGUCCGGAUUUACUGGGCGUAAAGGGCGCGUAGGCGGCAGAUCAAGUCAGCUGUGAAAUCUCCGAGCUUAACUCGGAACUGUCAGCUGAUACUGUUUUGCUAGAGUGCGGAAGGGGCAAUCGGAAUUCUUGGUGUAGCGGUGAAAUGCGUAGAUAUCAAGAGGAACACCUGAGGUGAAGACGGGUUGCUGGGCCGACACUGACGCUGAGUGCGCGAAAGCCAGGGGAGCAAACGGG
rnacentral:rRNA from 1 species